rnacentral:lncRNA from 1 species
CUACCGUAACCGAUGUCGAAGCUCCAGUGAGCGAGGACACCAUUGGAACCACCGAUGACGAUGCAGCUGCUUCUCCAGGUGAUGGUGACGUAGCUGUGGCUGGUCCUCUAGGAAGUGACUCCUCCUACGGUAGUAAUGGACCUUCACCUUCUACUGAUGCUGCUGACAGCGGCGCGGCUGCUCUUGGCGUCUCUGCGGUCUUCGUUGGUGUUGCAUCCAUCGCGGGUUCUUUCUUGUUUCUCUGAGGUGUGUAUUAUCAUGAGAAGAUUAUUCUGACUGAAGACUAUUAAUAUGUAUGGAUGAUUGUGAUGGCAUUCAAUUAAUUUGACUUCAACUAUAAAAUUGUUGUAUGCAUUCGUUUUAGCCUGUAAGAGAUCAGACAUUCACGUUUCGAUAAACAAGCAUAUAAAAUAAUAUGAAUAUUGUACAUUCAUUUUAUUCGGUUCAUCAACCAAAGAAAACAAAAAUUAAAUAUUCGUAUUCAUCUAUACUUUGGCAUGUUACCGUUCUUUUUUCUUGAUUGGCUCGUUACCAUUCAAAAAUAUAUACCUUAGCAAACCCAUUUUUAGACAUUCCAGUUGAUCUACAUUAGAUUGAACGGUAUUCCUCCUACGUAGUAAGAACGUUUUCUAUUUUCUUGUUUCAGUCAUACAAGACAACUAUAUAUACACAGCAACCCCAUCUCCUCUCUAAUCAUCACAAUCUCUAACGUUAAACCCUAAGACAAACUAAAAGAGAGCUACGUACGUACAAGGAGACAGAGAGAAGAAUGGGUCGCCAAAACGCUGUCGUAGUUUUUGGCCUCGUGUUCUUGGCCAUCCUUGGCCUCGCCGCAGCUGCCUCCUCUCCGUCUCCUUCAGCGUCACCCUCCAAAGCUCCGGCUGCUACCGUAACCGAUGUCGAAGCUCCAGUGAGCGAGGACACCAUUGGAACCACCGAUGACGAUGCAGCUGCUUCUCCAGGUGAUGGUGACGUAGCUGUGGCUGGUCCUCUAGGAAGUGACUCCUCCUACGGUAGUAAUGGACCUUCACCUUCUACUGAUGCUGCUGACAGCGGCGCGGCUGCUCUUGGCGUCUCUGCGGUCUUCGUUGGUGUUGCAUCCAUCGCGGGUUCUUUCUUGUUUCUCUGAGGUGUGUAUUAUCAUGAGAAGAUUAUUCUGACUGAAGACUAUUAAUAUGU